rnacentral:rRNA from 1 species
CUUACCAGGUCCAGACACAGUUAGGAUUGACAGAUUGAGAGCUCUUUCUUGAUUCUGUGGGUGGUGGUGCAUGGCCGUUCUUAGUUGGUGGAGUGAUUUGUCUGGUUAAUUCCGAUAACGAACGAGACCUCAGUUUAUUAAUUAAAUAAAAAAAUAUUAACAAUAUAAGGGUUAAGAAGAAAUGUAAAUAAAUUUAUUUAUUUACACUCUUUUUAAAACUUGUUUAUAUUUCAUUUUAUUUUCUUAAAAAGACACUUGGUGUUUAACCAAGGGAAGUUUGAGGCAAUAACAGGUCUGUGAUGCCCUUUAGAUGUUCUGGGCCGCACGCGCGCUACACUGAUAAAAUCAAUAAGUUUUUUAACAAUCACCUUAAUAGAAAUAUUUGGGUAAACUUUGAAAAUUUUAUCGUGCUGGGGAUUGACAAUUGUAAUUAUUUGUCAUCAACGAGGAAUUCCUAGUAAACGUAAGUCAUCAGCUUACGUUGAUUACGUCCCUGCCCUUUGUACACACCGCCCGUC